CCUACGGGUGGCAGCAGUGGGGAAUAUUGCGCAAUGGGCGAAAGCCUGACGCAGCGACGCCGCGUGAGGGAUGAAGGUCUUCGGAUCGUAAACCUCUGUCAGCAGGGAAGAACGGUCACUGUGCUAAUCAGCAGUGAAUUGACGGUACCUGCAAAGGAAGCACCGGCUAACUCCGUGCCAGCAGCCGCGGUAAUACGGAGGGUGCGAGCGUUAAUCGGAAUUACUGGGCGGACAGCGCUCGUAGGCGGUAUGUCAAGUCAGAGGUGAAAUCCCCGGGCUCAACGUGGGAACUGCCUUUGAAACUGGCAAGCUGGAGUGUGUGAGAGGGUAGUAGAAUUCCAGGUGUAGGAGUGAAAUCCGUAGAUAUCUGGAGGAACAUCAGUGGCGAAGGCGACUAUCUGGCACAUAACUGACGCUGAGGAGCGAAAGCGUGGGUAGCAAACAGGAUUAGAUACCCUUGUAGUC
rnacentral:rRNA from 1 species